rnacentral:rRNA from 1 species
AUGUGGCUUAAUUCGACGCAACGCGAAGAACCUUACCAAGGCUUGACAUACGCCGGAAAACCGUGGAGACACGGUCCCCCUUGUGGUCGGUGUACAGGUGGUGCAUGGCUGUCGUCAGCUCGUGUCGUGAGAUGUUGGGUUAAGUCCCGCAACGAGCGCAACCCUUGUUCUGUGUUGCCAGCAUGCCUUUCGGGGUGAUGGGGACUCACA